rnacentral:rRNA from 1 species
GACGACCGCUGGCGGCGUGCCUAAUACAUGCAAGUAGAACGAGUGGCGGACGGGUGAGUAAUGUCUGGGAAACUGCCUGAUGGAGGGGGAUAACUACUGGAAACGGUAGCUAAUACCGCAUACCAUCAGAUGUGCCCAGAUGGGAUGAGCUAGUUGGUGGGGUAACGGCUCACCAAGGCGACGAGCCCUAGCUGGUCCGAGAGGAUGACCAGCCACUCUGGGACUUAGACACGGUCCAGACUCCUAGUGGACGCAGCAGUGGGGGAGAUUGCACAAUUGGCGCAAGCCUGAUGCAGCCAUGCUGCGUGUAUGUAGAAGGCCUUCGGGUUUUAAAGGACUUUCAGGGGGGAGACGUCACCGGCAGAAGAAGCACCGGCUAACUCCGUGUGAGCAGCCGCGGUAAUA